rnacentral:rRNA from 1 species
UACGGAGGGUGCAAGCGUUAUCCGGAUUCACUGGGUUUAAAGGGUGCGUAGGUGGGCUGGUAAGUCAGUGGUGAAAUCUCCGGGCUUAACUCGGAAACUGCCGUUGAUACUAUCAGUCUUGAAUGUUGUGGAGGUAAGCGGCAUAUGUCAUGUAGCGGUGAAAUGCUUAGAUAUGACAUAGAACACCGAUAGCGAAGGCAGCUUGCUACACAAUAAUUGACACUGAGGCACGAAAGCGUGGGGAUCAAACAGG